CACGUAGGGCGCAAGCGUUGUCCGGAAUUAUUGGGGCGUAAAAGAGCUCGUAGGCGGUCUGUUGCGUCCGCUGUGAAAACUCGGGGCUUAACCCCGAGCCUGCAGUGGAUACGGGCAGACUAGAGGUAGGUAGGGGAGAAUGGAAUUCCCGGUGUAGGCGGUGAAAUGCGCAGAUAUCGGGAGGAACACCGGGUGGCGAAGGCGGUUCUCUGGGCAUU
rnacentral:rRNA from 1 species